rnacentral:rRNA from 1 species
AUUGAACGCUGGCGGCAGGCCUAACACAUGCAAGUCGAACGAGUGGCGGACGGGUGAGUAAUGUCUGGGAAACUGCCUGAUGGAGGGGGAUAACUACUGGAAACGGUAGCUAAUACCGCAUACCCUCGGAUGUGCCCAGAUGGGAUUCGCUAGUAGGUGGGGUAACGGCUCACCUAGUAGACGAUCCCUAGCUGGUCUGUGAGGAUGACCGGCAACACUGGAACUUGGACACGGUCCAGACUCCUACGGGAGGCAGCAGUGGGGAAUAUUGCACAAUGGGCGCAAGCCUGAUGCAGCCAUGCCGCGUGUGUGAAGAAGGCCUUCGGGUUGUAAAGCACUUUCAGCGGGGAGGCGUUACCCGCAGAAGAAGCACCGGCUAACUCCGUGCCAGCAGCCGCGGUAAUAC